AGCAUAGUGUAGUGGUUUGAGCAUUGGAUUACAACUCUGGCGACUAGGGUUCAAAUCCCUGCUAAGCUA